UACGUAGGGGGCAAGCGUUGUCCGGAAUCAUUGGGCGUAAAGAGCGUGUAGGCGGCCUGGUAAGUCCGCUGUGAAAGUCCAGGGCUCAACCCUGGAAUGCCGGUGGAAACUGUCAGGCUCGAGUCCGGAAGAGGCGAGUGGAAUUCCUGGUGUAGCGGUGAAAUGCGUAGAUAUCAGGAGGAACACCUGUGGCGAAAGCGGCUCACUGGACCAUAACUGACGCUGAUGCACGAAAGCUAGGGGAGCAAACAGG
rnacentral:rRNA from 1 species